CUUUAGGGGCAGGCCUAACCAUGCAAGUCGAGCGGUAGCACAGAGAGCUUGCUCUCGGGUGACGAGCGGCGGACGGGUGAGUAAUGUCUGGGAAACUGCCUGAUGGAGGGGGAUAACUACUGGAAACGGUAGCUAAUACCGCAUAAUGUCGCAAAACCAGAGUGGGGGACCUUCCGCCCUCAUGCCAUCAAAUGUGCCCAUAUGGGAUUAGCUAGUGGGGGGGGUAACGGCUCACCUAUGCAACGAUCCCUAGCUGGACUGAAAGGAUGACCACCCACACUGUAACUGAGACACGGUCCACACUCCUACGGGAGGCAGGAGGGGGGAAUAUUGCAGAAUGGGCGCAAGCCUGAUGCAUCCCUGCCGCGUGAGUAAAGAAGGCCUUCGGGUUGUAAAUUUCUUUCGGCGGGGAGGAAGGCGGUAAGGUUAAUACCCUUGCCGAUUGACCUUACCCACAAAACAACCACCGGCUACCUCCGUGCCACCACCCGCGUAAAUACGGAGGGUGCAAGCGUUAAUCUUAAUUACUGGGCGUAAAGCGCACGCAGGCGGUCUGUCAAGUCGGAUGUGACAUCCCCGGGCUCAACCUGGGAACUGCAUUCGAGACUGGCAGGCUAGAGUCUUGUAGAGGGGGGUAUAAUUCCAGGUGUAGCGGUGAAAUGCAUAUACAUCUGGAAUGAAUACCGGUGGCGAAGGCGCCCCCCUGGACAAAGACUGACGCUCACGUGCGAGAGCGUGAGCGAGCAAACAGGAUUACAUACCCUGGUCAGCCCACGCCAUAAAUCGUAUGUCUAAUUUGGUAGGGUUGUGCCAUCGAUGCGUAGCCUACCGGAGCUAACGAGUUAAACUCGACUCGCGUAGUGCAGUACGGCACGCUAAGAUAACAACUCAAAUGACUUGACAGCGCGGCCCAGCACGAUGCGAUGAUAGUCAUGUGAUUCAAUGCGAUGCACAGCGAACGUACUGACUGGUACUUGACAUCCACAGCACUUUACAUGAGAUGAUGCUGACAUGCCAGCACUGUCAACAGUUGCCUGCAUGCUGUCAUCAGCUCGUGUUGAGUAAAUUGUUGGAUACCUCCAGCACGAACCCAAUCGUAUCAUGCUGCAUCGGUCGGCAGUCAACUCGACGUACUGCAUGACUACUGAGUAGGUCAUGACGUCAGUCAGUCACUGGUACGUA
rnacentral:rRNA from 1 species